GCAUCUGUGGCCGAGAGGCCGAAGGCAGCGGACUCAUGAAUCCGCCAUCUUAUUUAGGACGUCGCUGGUUCGAAUCCAGCCAGAUGCAU
rnacentral:tRNA from 2 species